CGCCGGUUGAAAGCGCGUGUCUGCGUCGGGUUCUGUUGGAGUGCGUUCGGUGCGCCGUGGGUCCGCGCUGCUUCCACCCAACUUCCUGUUAGUUUCUCUCCUGUCACAAUGGCAUGAUCUCGGCUCACUGCGACCUCUGCUUCCUGGGUUCAAGGAUUCUCCUGCCUCAGCCUCCCAAGUAGCUGGGAUUACAGUUUCCAUCAUUAUCUUCUAUGGAGUUCUUCAUUCCCACAUCUGUGGACCUUAAAAUCCUACCGUUGAGUGCCUGCCUUGGAUCAGCAGUCAGUUCGUUACCUUGGUUCUCAGACGAUGCUUGCAACAACGCCAUGCGAUUCGCCCACUCUUGGGUUACAUUAGUUAUACACUCUGGAGGUGACUUGACCUGUCAUUGUGAACAAUUAUUGCUCUUGGACGACCCAGGACAUAGGCCAGCCAGUACGUACCCCAGUGUGUUGGAGAAUCGCGCUCGGCUUCUUCCUCUGUGCUGAGUCAUGAAAGUUGCCGGAGCAGGUGCAGUUACACAACCUCCAGGUAUGAUCCUGUUUAAGGACUGGAUUUAGGAUAACUACUUAGAGGUUAAAAGUCACAAGGGUGUAUGGAUGAGGCUGGAGUGAUCUGGGACCAAAGACAUCUAGGCUUGCUGUCAAGGCUUCUGAUCAACAUGAGAUGACCGCCGUGUGGUAAACUGAUGAACCCUGACCCUGAUCAACAUGAGAUGACCGCCGUGUGGUAAACUGAUGAACCCCGACCCUGAUGAACAUGACCGCCGUGUGGUAAACUGAUGAACCCCGACCCUGAUGAACGUGAGAUGACCGCCGUGUGGUAAACUGAUGAACCCCGACCCUGAUGAACGUGAGAUGACCGCCGUGUGGUAAACUGAUGAACCCCGACCCUGAUCAACGUGAGAUGACCGCCGUGUGGUAAACUGAUGAACCCCGACCCUGAUGAACAUGAGAUGACCGCCGUGUGGUAAACUGAUGAACCCCGACCCUGAUCAACAUGAGAUGACCGCCGUGUGGUAAACUGAUGAACCCCGACCCUGAUCAACAUGAGAUGACUGCCGUGUGGUAAACUGAUGAACCCUGACCCAUUAGGCUUUGGCUACAGAAUGUGGAAAUAAGUUGUGUUACUACAUGUGUGUAAUCCUAGGGUGCAGGACACCGGCCGGGAGGUUCCAUAGAGUGAUGGGUUCUGCAGGUAACUCAUCCUCUAGUCCUCUGUAAGCUCCUAGAAGGAAGAAAUUAUGUCCUUUAGACUAAUAAAAUUCCUCCAAACCAAAUACAGCACCUACUGUGAAGACACAAAGAUACUUUUAGAAUAGUAAAAACUUUAUCCAUUGAGAAAUUCCUUAAUGAAACAGUAUCCAAGAAGUCAUUUGCCAGCAGAUUUCUUAGAGGUGCGAUAAAGAAGAGGACAUUGCCAGUCGUCACAGCAGCUGCAAUAGCUCCUCUCUAUUGUUAAACAGUGGGAUAUCUUGUGCAGGUUUUCAGUUGACAAUCAAUUUUAAAGAUUAGUUUCGGUCCCCAUCAAUCAAUUAUUUAUU
rnacentral:lncRNA from 1 species